UGAAAUCUGCAUGGCAAACAUCAUUGCCUUAUGAUACAUUUCUCAAAUUUUCAGAACAUAUCCCUGUUGUUUAGCAGCACGUGAAUGUAUUUGAUUUAUUGUCUUGAUGUCCCUUUGCUUUCCCCAUGUGUUACCAUCAACUGCCUAAUGAAACAGCCUGGGAUUGUGUAAUGACUAACUUAGUGCUUUGAGUUUAAUUCUUUUUCAGCCACUGUGGUAUGUUGAUUACUAUAUUAAUAAUGUGUCUCCUUUAUGUGUUUUUAAAUAGUUACUUGGUCAUGAACUAUUUAUAAGCUUUGGAAACAUGAUUUCAUUUAUUCUGCAGGAUAACUUCAGGAAGUGGGUAUUAAUUCUCACUGUAUAAGUGAAGACAUUAAGCACCAGAGUUUAAGUAGCUUGAUCCACUGAAAGAGAUUCAACUGUGUGGAACCUAUGCCGCGGAGAAUUGCUUUCUGCCAUUGUUAUUGUCCAGCAGUUGCCGAAUAGCUCUGACCUGAGCAAAGCAGUGAAACGCGGUGCUGUUGAGUGGGUUGCCACUGCACCUUUUUCAACUACUCUAGUCUUGUGGAGAAAACACCCCUUCUAAAUUUUUUCUUCAUUGAAUACUCUCCCUCAGCUCCAGGGUACCAUAUAGAGUUUUCUUGUAUUUUAGAGUUACUGUUUUAUCAAAGUGUACCAGUCUUUUGUAUUACAUUUCUCCUGUCUAAAUCAA
rnacentral:lncRNA from 10 species